rnacentral:rRNA from 1 species
UACGGGGGGGGCAAGCGUUGUUCGGAAUUACUGGGCGUAAAGGGCUCGUAGGCGGCCAACUAAGUCAGACGUGAAAUCCCUCGGCUUAACCGGGGAACUGCGUCUGAUACUGGUUGGCUUGAAUCCGGGAGAGGGAUGCGGAAUUCCAGGUGUAGCGGUGAAAUGCGUAGAUAUCUGGAGGAACACCGGUGGCGAAGGCGGCAUCCUGGACCGGCAUUGACGCUGAGGCGCGAAAGCUAGGGGAGCAAACGGG